rnacentral:rRNA from 1 species
UACGAAGGUGGCAAGCGUUGUUCGGAUUUACUGGGCGUAAAGGGAGCGUAGGUGGUGGGGUAAGCCCCGCGGGAAAGCUCCAGGCUUAACCUGGAAAGGUCGCGGGGGACUGCUCCGCUCGAGGACGGGAGAGGAGCGCGGAAUUCCCCGUGUAGCGGUGAAAUGCGUAGAGAUCGGGAGGAAGGCCGGUGGCGAAGGCGGCGCUCUGGAACGGCCCUGACACUGAGGCUCGAAAGCGUGGGGAGCAAACAGG